rnacentral:rRNA from 1 species
UACGAAGGGGGCUAGCGUUGCUCGGAAUGACUGGGCUUAAAGGGCGCGUAGGCGGGUGCUCAAGUCCGGGGUGAAAUCCUCCAGCUCAACUGGAGAACUGCCUCGGAUACUGGGCGUCUCGAGUGUGGGUAGGGGUGUGCGGAACUAUCGGUGGAGCGGUGAAAUGCGUUGAUAUCGAUAGGAACUCCGGUGGCGAAGGCGGUUCCCUGGGCCUUACCGUGACGCUGAGGAGCG